GACAGAGGGUGCAAACGUUGCUCGGAAUUACUGGGCGUAAAGCGCGUGUAGGCGGCCCUGUAGGUCGGGUGUGAAAUCCCACGGCUCAACCGUGGAAGUGCAUUCGAAACUACAGGGCUAGAGUUCUGGAGAGGAAGGUGGAAUGCUUGGUGUAGAGGUGAAAUUCGUAGAUAUCAAGCGGAACACCGGUGGCGAAGGCGGCCUUCUGGACAGUAACUGACGCUGAGACGCGAAAGCGUGGGGAGCAAACAGG
rnacentral:rRNA from 1 species